GAUGAACGCUGGCGGCGUGCCUAAUACAUGCAAGUCGAGCGAACGGACGAGAAGCUUGCUUCUCUGAUGUUAGCGGCGGACGGGUGAGUAACACGUGGAUAACCUACCUAUAAGACUGGGAUAACUUCGGGAAACCGGAGCUAAUACCGGAUAAUAUUUUGAACCGCAUGGUUCAAAAGUGAAAGACGGUCUUGCUGUCACUUAUAGAUGGAUCCGCGCUGCAUUAGCUAGUUGGUAAGGUAACGGCUUACCAAGGCAACGAUGCAUAGCCGACCUGAGAGGGUGAUCCGCCACACCGGAACCUAGGCACGGUUCCGACUCCUAACGGAAGCAGCAGUAGGGGAAUCUUCGGCAUUGGGGGAAGGCCGAAGGAGGCAACGCGGCUGGGUGAAGAAGGGUCUUCGAUUCUUAAACCCCUUUAUUAGGGAAGAAAAUAUGGUGAAGUAACUGUGCACAUCUUGACGGUACCUAAUCAGAAAGCCACGGCUAACUACGUG
rnacentral:rRNA from 1 species